AUGCUCCUGUGGCUUGGAGCUGGGGGUGCACCCCAGGGAGGAUGCCCGGAACCCUGCGGUUGUGACUGCACACUGUGUCCCCUGCCCAGAGGCAGCCUGGAGGCAAUGCAUGCUCUCAGCAAAAGGAACAAAGGACCACCACCUGCAGAGCACCUGGUCCUGGAGAGCACCUUUCCUGCAGAAGGCCUGGAGAUGUCAGGAAUGUCACUGGCAUGGAACAGGUGGAAAAAAGUGCUGCAGGUUGCCAGUGUCCUGCUGCCAAGGCUGGGGUGCACCUGGACACCGCCAGCAUUGCCCACGUGGAAGCGACGUCCGUGCCAAGAGCGAUGGCCAGCACCCAGGCUCACUGACCGCGGAGGUACACUGGUGCUGACAGGACCAGGCUGCAGGGACAGCGUGGCUGCGAUUAAAUGCAUGAUUGUCCUCAAGACCCCUGCAUCUGUCCCCGGGCCACCGCGGCGCACCUGGCAGCUCCGCGCAGCGAAUGCGGAGCAACCGGGCGGUGAACUCCUGGUGCGCACAGGUCUGCGAGGGAUUCCCCAGAGCAAGGACCUCUCAAAGAGGCAAAAAAUAAAUCGGGUUCUAGGAAAAAAAAUAAAAAAAAAAAAAAGAGAGAGAGAGAGAAAGCGUUUUGUCUGGCAGAAAUUACCUUGGUUUUGCUUCAAAGCAGCGCAGCGCGCUGAAGGUGCAGAGAGCUGCUGGCUGUGGCGGGGCUCAGAGGCAGCCCCUGGCGAGCGGGUGCGAUGCCCAAGCACGUGGGCAUGGGGCAGGAGUGCAAGGCCCCUGCAGCCAUACUGUUGGGCCCCUGUUUCAAACUCUGCUGGUGGCUUUAGGGAUGCUGGUUCCCCCGGGUUUGAUACUGCAAGGGGAAUGGGAACAUGUUCUGUUGUGGUAUCCAAUAGCUAG
rnacentral:lncRNA from 1 species